AGCGUAGGCGGCGCGGUAAGUCAGAUGUGAAAUCCCGGGGCUCAACCCCGGAACUGCAUCCGAUACUGCCGUGCUAGAGGAUUGGAGAGGUAGCUGGAAUUUCUUGGUGUAGCAGUGAAAUGCGUGGAUAUCAAGAGGAACACUCGUGGCGAAAGCGAGCUACUGGACAACUCCUGACGCUGAGGCUCAAGGGCUAGGGUAAGCGAAAG
rnacentral:rRNA from 1 species